AACGAACGCUGGCGGCAUGCCUAACACAUGCAAGUCGAACGAUACCUUCGGGUCUAGUGGCGCACGGGUGCGUAACGCGUGGGAACCUGCCCUUAGGUUCGGAAUAACUCCCCGAAAGGGGUGCUAAUACCGGAUAAUGUCUUCGGACCAAAGAUUUAUCGCCUUUGGAUGGGCCCGCGUUGGAUUAGCUAGUUGGUAGGGUAAAAGCCUACCAAGGCGACGAUCCAUAGCUGGUCUGAGAGGAUGAUCAGCCACACUGGGACUGAGACACGGCCCAGACUCCUACGGGAGGCAGCAGUGGGGAAUAUUGGACAAUGGGCGAAAGCCUGAUCCAGCAAUGCCGCGUGAGUGAUGAAGGCCUUAGGGUUGUAAAGCUUUUUUACCCGGGAUGAUAAUGACAGUACCGGGAGAAUAAGCUCCGGCUAACUCCGU
rnacentral:rRNA from 1 species